rnacentral:rRNA from 1 species
UGGGGAAUCUUGCGCAAUGCGCGAAAGCGUGACGCAGCAACGCCGCGUGGGGGAAGAAGGCCUUCGGGUUGUAAACCCCUUUCAGUUGGGACGAAGCCUCGUCCGUUAAUAGCGGUGCGAGGUGACGGUACCUUCACAAGAAGCCCCGGCUAACUACGUGCCAGCAGCCGCGGUAAUACGUAGGGGGCAAGCGUUGUCCGGAAUCAUUGGGCGUAAAGAGCGUGUAGGCGGUCCGGUCAGUCCGCUGUAAAAGUCAAGGGCUCAACCCUUGAAAGCCGGUGGAUACUGCCGGACUAGAGUCCGGAAGAGGCGAGUGGAAUUCCUGGUGUAGCGGUGAAAUGCGCAGAUAUCAGGAGGAACACCUAUUGCGAAGGCAGCUCGCUGGGACGGUACUGACGCUGAGACGCGAAAGCGUGGGGAGCAAACAGG